rnacentral:misc_RNA from 1 species
GGAACCAAAUCCUGAACCUUCAAAUUUCAAUGGCUUAUUACAUGAUGUAGAUGCACCCUUGUGGGAAGGUUGUAAUAAUCAUACAUGGUUAUCUGCUGUAUCUCAAAUGUUAAAUUUUAUGUCGGAGUUCCACAGUUACAGUUGUUUUGACAAUUUUAUGUCAAUAAUAAAGAGCAUGCCACCAGAAGGAAAUCUCUUGCUAAGCAACUUCUACACCACAAAAAG